AUUGAACACUGGCGGCAUGCCUUACACAUGCAAGUCGAACGGUAACAGGUCUUCGGAUGCUGACGAGUGGCGAACGGGUGAGUAAUACAUCGGAACGUGCCUAGUAGUGGGGGAUAACUACUCGAAAGAGUGGCUAAUACCGCAUGAGAUCUACGGAUGAAAGCAGGGGAUCGAAAGACCUUGUGCUACUAGAGCGGCCGAUGGCAGAUUAGGUAGUUGGUGGGAUAAAAGCUUACCAAGCCGACGAUCUGUAGCUGGUCUGAGAGGACGAUCAGCCACACGGGGACAGAGACACGGCCCAGACUCCUACGGGAGGCAGCAGUGGGGAAUUUUGGACAAUGGGCGAAAGCCUGAUCCAGCAAUGCCGCGUGCAGGAUGAAGGCCUUCGGGUUGUAAACUGCUUUUGUACGGAACGAAAAGCCCUGGGUUAAUACCCUGGGGUCAUGACGGUACCGUAAGAAUAAGCACCGGCUAACUACGUGCCAGCCGCCGCGGUAAUAC
rnacentral:rRNA from 1 species